rnacentral:rRNA from 1 species
UUGUUGGUGAGGUAGUGGCUCACCAAGGCGACGACGGGUAGCCGGCCUGAGAGGGCGACCGGCCACACUGGGACUGAGACACGGCCCAGACUCCUACGGGAGGCAGCAGUGGGGAAUAUUGCACAAUGGGCGAAAGCCUGAUGCAGCGACGCCGCGUGAGGGAUGACGGCCUUCGGGUUGUAAACCUCUUUCAGCAGGGAAGAAGCGAAAGUGACGGUACCUGCAGAAGAAGCGCCGGCUAACUACGUGCCAGCAGCCGCGGUAAUACGUAGGGCGCAAGCGUUGUCCGGAAUUAUUGGGCGUAAAGAGCUCGUAGGCGGCUUGUCACGUCGGUUGUGAAAGCCCGGGGCUUAACCCCGGGUCUGCAGUCGAUACGGGCAGGCUAGAGUUCGGUAGGGGAGAUCGGAAUUCCUGGUGUAGCGGUGAAAUGCGCAGAUAUCAGGAGGAACACCGGUGGCGAAGGCGGAUCUCUGGGCCGAUACUGACGCUGAGGAGCGAAAGCGUGGGGAGCGAACAGGAUUAGAUACCCUGGUAGUCCACGCCGUAAACGGUGGGCACUAGGUGUGGGCAACAUUCCACGUUGUCCGUGCCGCA